ACCUAAUAGAUACCCCUGGUAGUCCACGCCCUAAAACGAUGCGAACUGGAUGUUGGGUACAUUACGGUACUCAGUGUCGAAAGCUAAACGCGUUAAGUUCGCCGCCUGGGGAGUACGGUCGCAAGACUGAAACUCAAAGGAAUUGACGGGGGCCCGCACAAGCGGUGGAGUAUGUGGUUUAAUUCGAUGCAACGCGAAGAACCUUACCUGGCCUUGACAUCUGUCGAAUCCUGCAGAGAUGCGGGAGUGCCGCAAGGAACGACAAGACAGGUGCUGCAUGGCUGUCGUCAGCUCGUGUCGUGAGAUGUUGGGUUAAGUCCCGCAACGAGCGCAACCCGUUGUCCCUAGUUGCCAGCACAUCAUGGUGGGAACUCUAGGGAGACUGCCGGUGACAAA
rnacentral:rRNA from 1 species